rnacentral:rRNA from 1 species
UGAACGCUGGCGGCGUGCUUACCACAUGCACGUCGAACGAAGCAUUUAGGACAGAUUACUUCGGUUUGAAGUUCUUUAUGACUGAGUGGCGGACGGGUGAGUAACGCGUGGGUAACCUGCCUUGUACUGGGGGAUAGCAGCUGGAAACGGCUGGUAAUACCGCAUAAGCGCACAAUGUUGCAUGACAUGGUGUGAAAAACUCCGGUGGUAUAAGAUGGACCCGCGUCUGAUUAGCUAGUUGGUGAGAUAACAGCCCACCAAGGCGACGAUCAGUAGCCGACCUGAGAGGGUGACCGGCCACAUUGGGACUGAGACACGGCCCAGACUCCUACGGGAGGCAGCAGUGGGGAAUAUUGCACAAUGGAGGAAACUCUGAUGCAGCGACGCCGCGUGAGUGAAGAAGUAAUUCGUUAUGUAAAGCUCUAUCAGCAGGGAAGAUAGUGACGGUACCUGACUAAGAAGCUCCGGCUAAAUACGUG